GGGAUAUUGUUUGAACAUUUUUGAGAAAUGAAAGGAUCUCGUCGUUUUCUUUCACCAGGCGGUGCCAGGGCUGGCGACAGCAGUGAGUGCGAUACGGCUGAGGAGACAGCGAGCGUCACCAGCAGUCAUAUAUCAGAACCAGACAGUAUCGAUGAAGUGAUUGCUAGCCAUGGUUUGGAUGAUGUUGAUGAAAGCAGUGGCCAGGAUGCGUUUGAAGAGAAGAUUAGGGACUUCAUCGAUGGAACGACACAGAAGAGUGCUGCAGGUCGGAAGCACUGUCUGGAGGGUAUCAGAGCAGCUUUCUCAAAGAAAUACAUCUUUGAUUUUGUAGAUAGUAGAAAGAUCACAUUAGCAGACUGCAUUGAAAGGUGUAUAAAGAAAGGUAAAGGUGAUGAACAGGUCGUAGCAGCUAAAGUAUUGAACACAUUAUGGAUCCAGCUUGGGGCAGGAUUAGAAUGUGAGGAAGUGUUUACCGCUAUGAGACCCAUCCUCAUGACCAAGGUCCAAGAUAAAACCGCUGCACCUGCUGCAAGAGCAAGCUGUGCUACUGCUUUAGGACUAGGAACAUUUGUAGCAGCUGCAGAGUUUGAGACUGUAUGCAGCUGCAUGAAUGCUCUUGAGGAUAUAUUUAGCGCUUCAUACCUGAAAGGUGACGGGACUAGUCCUACCCAUAAACCUGGUAUAUCUACCCUACACACGGCAGCACUCAAUGGCUGGAUGCUACUACUGUCUAUAACGCCUCCUUCUAGGAUACGAGUAAUAGUAGAAACACAUUUACCGAAGCUUCCAGAUCUGUUGUCUAGUGAGGAUGUCAAUUUAAGAAUAGUAGCUGGGGAAGCUAUAGCUAUGCUAUAUGAACUAGCUAGAGAAGAUGAUGAGGAAUUUGAAGGUGAUGAUAUAGAUGAUCUUGCAAUGAAGUUAAGAAAUCUUGCCACAGACAGCAACAAGCACAGAGCCAAGAAAGAUCUGAGGCAUCAACGAUCUAGUUUUAGAGACAUCAUACAAACUAUAGAGAACGGUGAAUCCCCACAGGAGCUUGUCAAGUUUGGGGUAGAAUGUUUAGAGAUAGAUUCAUGGGUGAGAAAGAGGCAGUAUUCUAUCAUCAGGGAGUCUUUAGGCUCAGGUACAAACACACAUCUACAGGAAAACCCAUUACUCAGGGAUAUAUUUGGACUUGGGGCUCCCCUCGUUAUUGGGCCAGGGGGCCACAAGAAAGCAUCAAAGUCAGAGAGGCACCAGUUUAACUCGGCUGCAUUUAAGGCUCGCACCAAAGUCAGAAGCAAGCAACGGGACAAGCGUGUAGCAAUAUACUGAAAUCCAUUGUAGUUUAGAUUUUAUUAUCCUAGCUUUAUAUAUUAUUAUGUAUUUCUUACAAAUUUCUUGGACUUGGAUGUCCCAUUGACUGGCCUCGUAGCCCCUCUCAUAAGCCUUGGAUAUUUGGUGCCCUUUUUGAUUUUCCCAUUCAAGCUGUGUUAUCAAAAUGUGCCCUGUUGAAAAGCUGCCUUCCGCUAAGACCCGAAGUCAAACCCCCAAUCUCAUCCAGCCAUGGCAUGGUCGGUUUUGAUAUCCACGAUGGUACAAUGGAAUGACAGUGUGGUGUAUAAUGUCAUAGCAAGGUCUUGAUCAUGUUGGGUCAAGGGACGCAGUGUUAUGGGCCAAAUCCUUGGGAGCUAACAGGUAGUUUGUAAUUUUCACAGAUAACUGCUAUUAACUACUGAAAUCCUUGUAUCUGAUUGGCUCAGAACGAGUUAGCUUUGUGAAACGCUCCCCUGUUGCACUACCCGUCUUUAUCCUGUCUCGGUCCUUAUUUUCUACAAACUUCUACCGUGUGUGAGGGUGCAUUUUUUUUCCUUUAUGUGUGAAUGUUUUAUCAACAUUAUCGUCUGAAAAGUUGUCAGAUCUGACAACUCUCCUUGAAUUUAAUUGGCUGAGAAGCACUUUUAUGAUGGUAACUGUCAGUUAAAACCGGAUUGAAAAGUUAAAAUGGACCUAAACUUCCAAGUUACCUCCUGUAAUAAGACAUCAAAGCAGUUCAAAUUGGGUUUGAAUUCAGAACUUUCUAUGUAACAUUAAAUUUUAGCCGGGGGGGGGGGGGGGGGGGGGGGAGGGAGGGGGUGUAACAGAAGAGGUCUAUACAAUUAUGAUUAUUUAUUAUUAAUCAUAUCUGUUUGUACAUGGUUUUCCAUUGACUUACAGGCACACUUUGUCGUACAAAUGAUCGGAAUCCUUUGUGUCACAGGCCCCCUUUACACGGUCACCUUUGAAGGCUAAGAAGGCGAAACUGCUACUGGAAUACCAUUAAUAACAAAUGCUAAACAUGGUAUAAAACUUCGGUCUCUGAAAUUGGUGAGUGGAGCCAACGGAGUUCAGCGGAACAACCAAUAUAACAGAGACCGAAAGCUUUUUGUCUAGCUUCUAACAUGCCACACACUUUAUGAAUUAGAAAUAUCAAGAAUAUGAGACCUACAGAUCUUUACAAGGUAGAAGACCACAGCAUCUACAGAGAUGGUCAAACUAUGUAUCAAGGGUCAAUUGAAGAGUUGACUGUAAACAAAUUCACCAUCUGCUUUGACCAGGGAUUAAUCAAGAUGGUCCUCCUUGUUCAUGUAUAUCUUUGUAGGUCUGAUAUGUGUGGUGAGCCCUCUACUGGUGAAAUCUCCCAAACAGCUCACCCAUUAGAUCACUCAACAUUCUACUUGGUAUUUCUCUCACUAUAAAACGAAAAAAUAAAUUGUGCAAAUUUUAGGGUCAAAUUGACCAAAUUCUAUGAUCCCUUGAUGGGAAGCCUUAGCUAUAACAUGAUAUACAUCAGAAGAUAAAAAAAAGUUUCUAAACAUGCUGUGUCAAUUUGUGUUGAAUGAAUAAAUAUUUGAAGGAAACCAUCACUACACUUCUUCAAUCGGUAGUGUGAUGAAAAAAAUGCUUAAAUGAAUAAAAGACCGCAAACCCCUUCAACUGGCAAUUAAUGUGAUGAAAAUAUAAAAAUCAGUUUUCCCCAUACAAAGUUGAUAAAUUCAUAACUUCAUAAGUAACUCCAUUUAUUUCUGAUGCAUGACCUUUAAAAGGUAAAUGUCACAUUUAUGUUGCCGAUUGGCAGAAUAAAAGCUGAUCAAAUGAGGCAUCAAACAAUCCAUUGUACUGAUUGGGUUAGCCGAAAAGAUCUGCCAUGACUUGUCAAUAAGAAGAUUAGAUUUGAUAGCCCUGUCUUACCUGCCAUCAAUCUACAUGUACAUGUGGUAUAAGAUUGAUUGCAUUGAUUGUGAAUAUGCAAAGGAUUAUGUAUAAGGGUUAUGGCAGGGUUACAAGACGCUAUUUCACAUAGCUUUUUGAAUGAAUGAACAAACCUGUGUUUCAUUUGGAAAACAGAUUUCUCAAUCAUUUUAUUUAUGUAGUAGGAAAUUCAUUCCCACUAUGUUAAAAGUGGUAAUUUUGGAGGGAGCUCAUUUAGCACAAGAAAAUAUAUACCAGUCAUUCAUAAAGUGAUGGUUAACUCCUGAAAAGCUGUUUGAAACAGCCUCCAAUUAUCAAGUUCAGCUCUUAAUUUCCAGAUCUUAACAUCCUUUUUUUUUUUUUUUUUUUUUUUUUUUGGGGGGGGGGUAAUUUUAUAACUGUUAAAUAAAAAUAGGUAUCUUUAUCAACACUGUAUCAUGAAAAGCUGAAAUAGCCACCAGUUAUCAGCCGCAAUCAUAUCUUCAGCUCGGCUUUGAAUUUCCAGGUCAAACUUCCCAUUUUGGGAGGAGGGAGGGGUCUGGAUUCUUUUUUUUUUCAUAGCUGAACAAUGGGAAGGGGUGAUCCUAGGUGACUUUCACAACUCGAGUCAAUUGUUAUUCCCUCCCAUUUAAAGCAUAACUCCGCUAAAAAGUAGUUGGCAGCUUCGACUAGGAUUCAAAUAUAAAAAUCACUGAUUUAGCUGUUAAUUCAUUCAUGAUUGUACUUUGUAACUGUUUACAUAAGAAAGAUAUUGCCAGAGAUUUAUCAGUAAAGUGCUUGAAUCAGAUAAUGUCGCAUGAAGGGUUAUCACUGAAUUCCGACGGAUCGCUAUGUUGGGCAAACAAUACAGUCUGCCCCCUGGGUGCUCUCAAGUGCAGUCUAUGGCGAACCUAGAUCAUUUGCUGUCUUAUUAGAAAAGUAAUGACUACCAUUUGGUAAAUGAAGUUCAGCAAUUGCUAUUGAUUAUGCACUGGAAUGAGAACAGUCCAGCACUCGUUCUGUAAGAAGCAAAUUUUCAUACUUCCAGAAAAGUGAAUUCAUCCCUUUAAAAGCAAACUAAGUCAAGGGUGACAGUAGUCAUUUAAUGGUGAUCAUGUGCAUAUACCAUAUUAUUAAGAGGAAAUCCUACACAUAUGCCCUUUCAAAGUCAAUUUUGUCUUUGUUUGGCCAGUUAGAGGUAAUUUCCCCCACUCUUUCAGGAAACUUCCACAUACUUAAAAGUGACCUUGUUUACCAAGUGCAUGAUGUUUUGUUUUCCAGUGAAAAGUAGUAAAGGUAAAGCUGUUUAUUUUUCCCCAGGUGCCAUGUUUUGACAAUUUUCGUGAUAUAUCUGCUGCGCAAAAUUUUUUGACCUCGCCGCUCACUGACUUUUUACUUUCAAGUCUCGCGCAAAUUUUGGGACCAACUUUGUGAUGCCCGCGUACGCGGUUACGACAUUACGCAACAUUAUGUAAAUUGAGGGUUAAGAAGUAUUGGUGUGUGAAACCCUACCCUUAACAACUAUCGGAAACAUAACAGGGCCCUGGACUUACUUUGACCCCCUAAACAAGUACAGCAACAGCCCCAGCAUUAGCAGCAAUCCUUUUCCAGUAUGUGUAUGCACAGUUGAGUUACAAUUACCUCAGAGAAGCAAACAAACGAACAACUUAUAUGAGUAAGUUUCCCGGGACUGCCCCAUCUCCCACAGGUCCCUAAGCACGUAGUGUUGGGGCAAAAAGUAUUUUAGUCUUUUUAUACCCUUGCAAAUUGAACCAUAUAGCUUUCCUAGCAAAAUAAAUACCUUUUUUCAUUAUUUUAGUGUUUUUGACACCCUUAUUACGUUACGUAUGGAACGUGCCCCAUCUUGAAAAAGAGAUUCCUUUUUUGGUCAUGCAUGGUAUCCACUCGUCAUUGGAAGUGGCACCCCCUGGGUUUUUAUUCAUGUAAUACUGAAUCAAUUUAAUCUUUUUCAAAAUUAAAAAAAGGAUUAUCUCAAUUACAGUCCCUCUUGGUUCAUAUUUUUCCUGGAAAAUUUUGAGAAUUCCUUUUGAUGUCGAUCUUAAUUCAUCGGCCGCAACAUGCCUUUUCCACAGACCCUGACCCAUGUGUAUAUUGUCUCGGUGUCCAAUGGUUUGAAAUGAAAACAACAAAAACAGAGAGCUCUAUGGAGUAUGACUAAUGUCUACCUUUUAUAACUCUCUGUUCAUAAUAUACCAUGAGCUUGAGAGUAUUCUUUUCUUAUCUGUCUGUCAUGAUGGUGUAGAAGGCCCUGGGAUUCAAAUUUAAAAUGAUUUUAGGUCAAUAAAUCAAUUACAAGUCUUGCAAAAAAUCAAUCACAGAUUUGCAGUAGAUUGUUUGGCUGCAUGUUGCUGUAAGAGUGUGUAAAAACCAGGAGUGUGCCAAAGUGAGAACGCUUAACCCACUCGACAAUCCCAUCCUUGGUACCCUUUUAAAACCAGGAAGUUGUUGUAUUCAUAUCAAUGCAUCAGUUCUCAACAAACAGCGAAACGCAUUAAAGAUUUAAAGUAAAGGACCAUAAGUAUCCAGGGACGUACUCUCUCCUUGCCUGGCAAAUGUCAUGUUGUUGUGGUUUAUUAAUGGAUGAAUUCCAAUUAUUUUGUAGGAUUUGCCUUUGAUAUUUCAUUAGGUGGGGCAGUAAAUGGGAUUAAAGGACAAGUCCACCCCAACAAAAUUUUGAUUUGAAUAAAAAGAGAAAAAUCCAACGAGCAUGACACUGAAAAUUUCAUCAAAAUCGGAUGUAAAAUAAGAAAGUUAUGCCAUUCUAAAGUUUCGCUUAAUUUCACAAAACAGUUAUAUGCACAUCCUGGCUGGUAUGCAAAGGAGGAGACUAUGACGUCAUCCACUUACCAUUUUGUAUUUUAUUAUAUGAAAUAUUCAAAUUUUCUCCUUAUUGUCAAGUGAUACAACGAUUAAUUCCUCCCUUAACAUGUGAAAUUAGCAUGGUUUAAUACUAUAUGGUUCAGUCAAGUUGGUCCUUAUUGUCAAAUCUAUAAAAAAUGAAAUAUUGUAUAAUUU